AGCAGACUUAACAAGCAUGUCUUUACUAAAACUGCCAGUCACUUUGACCAACACUAUAGAAGUUCAGAAUAAAUGGCUGGAAAUACUGCAACAUGCUGAAGAAAUAGUUGAAGAGGACGCUGAGUAUCUGCAUCAUACCGAAAAGGGGAUGCGUUUGAAGGAGCGCGCGCUACCCCCGGAAAUUCUCGGCAGAAAUUACGCUAAAUAUUGUGAUCUGAUCAACAAGCUAUAUGAUGCUUACCUCAACAGUGUUCAUCUUCAGAGAGCACCUUAUAUACAGGAAAUUAUCAAUGUCUGUAUUAAAAGGAUGUUUGAGCUGAGAACUGAACUGACACACGUGAUAGUCAAUGAUUAUAUCUACGUUGAUGGCGCGUUGACACAGAUGCGGUUGACCCCAGCAGAUAUACAGGUA